UUAAAGUUAUAGUCCCCCGGCCCUCUGGGCUGGGGUCUUCUAUACCACCCUUUGUUUAUUACACCUUUGUUGCUUUGGCAGGCCUGCCCUCGGGCUGCUGGCUCCGGCCGGCUCGCGUCUGCCAGAGGACCUAAACUCUGUUUGUAUAUGAAGUCUGAGUACUAUAUAAUAGUUAAAACUUUCAACAACGGAUCUCUUGGUUCUGGCAUCGAUGAAGAACGCAGCGAAAUGCGAUAAGUAAUGUGAAUUGCAGAAUUCAGUGAAUCAUCGAAUCUUUGAACGCACAUUGCGCCCCCUGGUAUUCCGGGGGGCAUGCCUGUUCGAGCGUCAUUACAACCCUCAAGCUCUGCUUGGUGUUGGGCCCCGCCGCCCCGGCGGGCCCUAAAAUCAGUGGCGGUGCCGUCCGGCUCCGAGCGUAGUAAUUCUUCUCGCUCUGGAGGUCCGGGUGUGUGCUCGCCAGCAACCCCCAAUUUUUUUCAGGUUGACCUCGGAUCAGGUAGGGAUACCCGCUGAACUUAAGCAUAUCAAUA
rnacentral:rRNA from 1 species